rnacentral:rRNA from 1 species
GACGAACGCUGGUGGCGUGCCUAAUACAUGCAAGUCGAACGCACUCUCGUUUAGAUUGAAGGAGUUUGCUCCUGAUUGAUAAACAUUUGAGUGAGUGGCGGACGGGUGAGUAACACGUGGGUAACCUGCCCUAAAGUGGGGGAUAACAUUUGGAAACAGAUGCUAAUACCGCAUAAAACCUAACACCGCAUGGUGUAGGGUUGAAAGAUGGUUUCGGCUAUCACUUUAGGAUGGACCCGCGGUGCAUUAGUUAGUUGGUGAGGUAAAGGCUCACCAAGACCGUGAUGCGUAGCCGACCUGAGAGGGUGAUCGGCAACACUGGGACUGAGACACGGCCCAGACUCCUACGGGAGGCAGCAGUAGGGAAUCUUCCACAAUGGACGAAAGUCUGAUGGAGCAACGCCGCGUGAGUGAAGAAGGUUUUCGGAUCGUAAAACUCUGUUGUUGGAGAAGAAUGUAUCUGAUAGUAACUGAUCAGGUAGUGACGGUAUCCAACCAGAAAGCCACGGCUAACUACGUG